rnacentral:rRNA from 1 species
CCAAUAGCGUAUAUUAAAGUUGUUGCAGUUAAAAAGCUCGUAGUUGAAUUUCGGGGUUAGUAAGUUGGUCGUGCCACUGGUAUGUACUGGCUUUACUGAUUCCUCCUUCUUGUAGAACCGUAAUGCCAUUAAGUUGGUGUUGCGGGGAAACAGGACUGUUACUUUGAAAAAAUUAGAGUGUUUAAAGCAGGCUAACGCUUGAAUACAUUAGCAUGGAAUAAUGAAAUAGGACGUUCGAUCCUAUUUUGUUGGUUUCUAGGAUUGACGUAAUGAUUAAUAGGGAUAGUUGGGGGUACUAGUAUUCAAUUGUCAGAGGUGAAAUUCUUGGAUUUAUUGAAGACUAACUACUGCGAAAGCAUUUGCCAAGGAUGUUUUCAUUAAUCAAGAACGAAAGUUAGGGGAUCGAAGACGAUCAGAUACCGUCGUAGUCUUAACCAUAAACUAUGCCGACUAGGGAUCGGAUGAUGUUAAUUUUUUAAUGACUCAUUCGGCGCCUUACG